GGAUUGUGGCUCAGCGGUAGAGCGCUCGCCUAGCACGGGAGGGACCCGGGUUCAAUUCUCAGCACCA
rnacentral:tRNA from 1 species